rnacentral:misc_RNA from 1 species
UGUAGGAGCCGGCUUGCUGGCGAUCCAGGCAGCGCGGUUUAUCAGUUUCACCGCGUCGCCUGGAUCGCCAGCAAGCCGGCUCCCACA